rnacentral:rRNA from 1 species
GAUGAACGCUGGCGGCGUGCCUAAUACAUGCAAGUCGAGCGAACAGACGAGGAGCUUGCUCCUCUGACGUUAGCGGCGGACGGGUGAGUAACACGUGGAUAACCUACCUAUAAGACUGGGAUAACUUCGGGAAACCGGAGCUAAUACCGGAUAAUAUAUUGAACCGCAUGGUUCAAUAGUGAACGACGGUUUUGCUGUCACUUAUAGAUUGAUUCGCGCCGCAUUAGCUAGUUGGUAAGGUAACGGCUUACCAAGGCGACGAUGCGUAGCCGACCUGAGAGGGUGAUCGGCCACACUGGAACUGAGACACGGUCCAGACUCCUACGGGAGGCAGCAGUAGGGAAUCUUCCGCAAUGGGCGAAAGCCUGACGGAGCAACGCCGCGUGAGUGAUGAAGGUCUUCGGAUCGUAAAACUCUGUUAUUAGGGAAGAACAAAUGUGUAAGUAACUAUGCACGUCUUGACGGUACCUAAUCAGAAAGCCACGGCUAACUACGUG